GACGAACGCUGGCGGCGUGCUUAACACAUGCAAGUCGAACGGAAAGGCCCUGCUUUUGUUGGGUGCUCGAGUGGGGAACGGGGGAGUAACACGUGAGUAACCUGCCCUUGACUUUGUGGUAACUUCAGGGAACUGGGGCUAAUACCGGAUAGGAGCUCCUGCUGCAUGGGGGGGGUUGGAAAGUUUCGGCUGUUGGGGAUGGACUGGCGGCUUAUCAGCUUGUUUGUGUGGUAGUGGCUUACCAAGGCUUUGAAGGGUAGCCUGCCUGGGAGGGUGACCGGCCACAUUGGGACUGAGAUACGGCCCAGACUCCUACGGGAGGCAGCAGUGGGGAAUCUUGCACAAUGGGCGGAAGCCUGAUGUAGAAACGCCGCGUGCGGGAUGCCGGCUUUCGGGUUGUAAACCGCUUUCGCAUGUGACGAAGCGUGAGUGACGGUAAUGGGUAAAGAAGCACCGGCUAACUACGUG
rnacentral:rRNA from 1 species